CAACUGCGCGCUAACCUAGAAC
rnacentral:snRNA from 1 species